CACGUAGUUAGCCGGUGCUUCUUCUGCAGGUACCGUCACUCACGCUUCGUCCCUGCUGAAAGAGGUUUACAACCCGAAGGCCGUCAUCCCUCACGCGGCGUCGCUGCAUCAGGCUUCCGCCCAUUGUGCAAUAUUCCCCACUGCUGCCUCCCGUAGGAGUCUGGGCCGUGUCUCAGUCCCAGUGUGGCCGGUCACCCUCUCAGGUCGGCUACCCGUCGUCGCCUUGGUAGGCCAUUACCCCACCAACAAGCUGAUAGGCCGCGGGCCCAUCCUGCACCGAUAAAUCUUUCCACCACAACACAUGCAUGCUGUGGUCAUAUCCGGUAAUUACGACCCUAGUUUACCCCAAGUCUUAUCCCAGAGUGCAGGGCAGAUCACCCAGUCGUUACUCCACCCGUUCGCCGUCUCGUCGUACCCCGAAGGCCUUACCGCUAGACUGCAUGUGUUAACGCACGCCGCAGUCGUCGUC
rnacentral:rRNA from 1 species